UUGCGAGAUCUCUCAAUAGUUUUGCGAGAUCUGGCAAAAGUAUUGGGAGAUCUCGCAAAAGUAUUGGGGGAUCUCGCAAAAGUAUUAAAAAAUAAACUUUUGCGAGAUCUCCCAAUA